CGGAAUGUGACGUAGUUUGGUAGCGUUUCUACUUUGGGAGUAGAUAGUCAUAGGUUCAAAUCCUAUCUUUCCGA
rnacentral:tRNA from 1 species